rnacentral:tRNA from 1 species
AAAGAAUUAGUUAAAUUUUUAUAACAUUAAAUUGUCAUUUUAAAAUUAUUACAAUAAUACUCUUUC